rnacentral:tRNA from 1 species
GGCUUUAUAGUCAACAAUGAUAUUAGACUGCAAUUCUAAAGGAGUAAAUUUUACUGAAGCUU